rnacentral:ncRNA from 2 species
UUUAUAGAAAAAGCGCCAGCACGUGUUUUAACCACGUGGACGAGGAGAAGGAGGUCACCGGUAAUUUUUCAAUCGGUGAGUUAUCGAGUUUUCGGCGGAAACCUUCCGGUUGUCACGACCGUCAGGGUCCUACAAAGACUCGCAGGCAACUGCGGUACAAAAGGGAUCUGAGUGAAUUU